rnacentral:tRNA from 1 species
GCGCGAGUGGCGAAAUGGCAGACGCGCUGGAUUUAGGUUCCAGUGUCUUAGGACGUGCGGGUUCAAGUCCCGCCUCGCGCA